rnacentral:rRNA from 1 species
UGCCAGCAGCCGCGGUAAUACGAAGGGACCUAGCGUAGUUCGGAAUUACUGGGCGUAAAGCGUGCGUAGGUGGUUUAUUAAGUCAGAUGUGAAAGCCCCGGGCUUAACCUGGGAACUGCAUUUGAAACUGGUAAACUAGAGUAUGGUAGAGGAAAGUGGAAUUUCUGGUGUAGCGGUGAAAUGCGUAGAUAUCAGAAGGAACAUCAAUGGCGAAGGCAGCUUUCUGGACCAAUACUGACGCUGAGGUACGAAAGCGUGGGUAGCAAACAGGAUUAGAUA